UACGUAGGGUGCAAGCGUUAAUCGGAAUUACUGGGCGUAAAGCGUGCGCAGGCGGUUUUGUAAGUCUGACGUGAAAUCCCCCGGGCUCAACCCUGGGAAUUGCGUUGGAGACUGCAAGGCUGGAAUCUGGCAGAGGGGGGUAGAAUUCCACGUGUAGCAGUGAAAUGCGUAGAGAUGUGGAGGAACACCGAUGGCGAAGGCAGCCCCCUGGGUCAAGAUUGACGCUCAUGCACGAAAGCGUGGGGAGCAAACAGG
rnacentral:rRNA from 1 species